rnacentral:lncRNA from 1 species
GCAACGGGUUAGGCAACGGGUUAGGCAACGGGUUAGGCAACGGGUUAGGCAACGGGUUAGGCAACGGGUUAGGCAACGGGUUAGGCAACGGGUUAGGCAACGGGUUAGGCAACGGGUUAGGGUUAGGCAACGGGUUAGGGUUAGGGUUAGGGUUAGGCAACGGGUUAGGGUUAGGGUUAGGCAACGGGUUAGGGUUAGGGUUAGGCAACGGGUUAGGGUUAGGCAACGGGUUAGGGUUAGGCAACGGGUUAGGGUUAGGGUUAGGGUUAGGCAACGGGUUAGGGUUAGGCAACGGGUUAGGGUUAGGCAACGGGUUAGGGUUAGGCAACGGGUUAGGGUUAGGCAACGGGUUAGGGUUAGGCAACGGGUUAGGGUUAGGGUUAGGGUUAGGGUUAGGGUUAGGGUUAGGGUUAGGGUUAGGGUUAGGGUUAGGGUUAGGGUUAGGGUUAGGGUUAGGGUUAGGGUUAGGGUUAGGGUUAGGGUUAGGGUUAGGGUUAGGGUUAGGGUUAGGGUUAGGGUUAGGGUUAGGGUUAGGCAACGGGUUAGGCAACGGGUUAGGCAACGGGUUAGGCAACGGGUUAGGCAACGGGUUAGGCAACGGGUUAGGCAACGGGUUAGGGUUAGGGUUAGGGUUAGGGUUAGGGUUAGGGUUAGGGUUAGGGUUAGGGUUAGGGUUAGGGUUAGGGUUAGGGUUAGGGUUAGGGUUAGGGUUAGGGUUAGGGUUAGGGUUAGGGUUAGGGUUAGGGUUAGGGUUAGGGUUAGGGUUAGGGUUAGGGUUAGGGUUAGGGUUAGGGUUAGGGUUAGGGUUAGGGUAAGGGUUAGGGUUAGGGUUAGGGUUAGGGUUAGGGUUAGGGUUAGGGGUAGGGUUAGGGUUAGGGUUAGGGUUAGGGUUAGGGUUAGGGUUAGGGUUAGGGUAAGGGUUAGGGUAAGGGUUAGGGUUAGGGUUAGGGUUAGGGUUAGGGUUAGGGUUAGGGUUAGGGUUAGGGUUAGGGUUAGGGUUAGGGUUAGGGUUAGGGUUAGGGUUAGG